rnacentral:rRNA from 1 species
AGAGUUUGAUCCUGGCUCAGGACUAACGCUGGCGGCGUGCCUAACACAUGCAAGUCGAACGGGGUAGCAAUACCCAGUGGCAGACGGGUGAGUAACACGUGGUCAACCUAUCUUCGCGUGGGGGAUAACUAGCCGAAAGGUUAGCUAAUACCGCAUACGAUCGUUUGAAGGCAUCUUCGAACGAUGAAAGGAGCAAUCCG